AAAAAACAUUAGAAAUAGAAAAGUAGUAGGAUUGAUUUGGAAAAAAGUAAAGAAACAAGAGGGUAGAUCCUACUAGCUAACUGAUGCGAUAAAAAAUCCUACAACAUGAAACAGAUUCUUAAUAAUUAAGUGCAUUUGUCAGUGUGUCUCUGUGUCAUGUGUUUGUGACAUGUAUCUAUAUGUGAUGUGUGUGUGUAUACAUUAUCAUGUGUCUGCAUGUAUGAUAGUGCAUAUAAUAUAUGUAAGAAUUAUGAAUGUAUGACGUGUGUAUGUGACGUGUAUUUAUAAAGUGUAUGUAAUGUGUGUGUGAGAGUAUUAUCAUGUAUCUGUGUGCGUGUGUGACAUUUGUAUAUGUAUAUGUUUCUAUGCAUAAGCUAAUGUAACAUGAGUAUAUAUGUGUGUAGUCAUAAAUUACCCACAUACAAUGUUCUAUCAGUUUUAUAUUCAUUAACAAUCAUAACUGACAUGUACCAGUCUACCAGAAUAGUCUAGUAAUGUUAAAAAUAAGGAUACCCCCUUUACUGUAGUCUCGCCUAGCCAGCUAGCCCCUCUGGCUAUGCAAGACUACCUUUACUGUGUGGCAUGUGUGAUUGUGUGUGCAUCCAUACAUGAGGGUAUCUGUGUGUGUGUGUGUGACACUUCUGUGUAUCAUGUGAUAGUGAUGUGUGUCUAUGCAUGAUGUGUAUGACUCUGCUGAAGUUAUCCACACAUUCACAGCCACACAUUCCAGAUGGUAAAAUAAUUACAUUUUUGUGGUUUUGGCAGUUAUUGUAAGAAAAUGUGGGCGUAAUUAUUGCAGGGCUUGAUGAGAAAAUACCAAUGACCAGUUACUAUACAUUUUAUAGGUUAUAAUAGCUUGGAUCAAGAACAACUGAAUCACUGAUCUACAAGGAUCUAGAUCUCGCUGGAGAGGCAUUGGUAGUGUGAUGGAUUAACCAUUAACUCUGUAUUUUUUGACUUUCAUAAGAUACAUUAAUGAUUAUUAUGAAUUGUAAUUUAUUGUCUUAUGUGUUUUUCUUUGAUUUCUACAGAUCUAAUAUACAAUUAUUAUAUUGUCUUCCUUAUGUGUAUUGCAGAUUUGAAAUGAA